rnacentral:rRNA from 1 species
GCAGGGCGGCAGCUACACAUGCAAGUCGAGCGGUAACAGAUCCAGCUUGCUGGAUGCUGACGAGCGGCGGACGGGUGAGUAAUGCAUAGGAAUCUGCCCGAUAGUGGGGGAUAACCUGGGGAAACCCAGGCUAAUACCGCAUACGUCCUACGGGAGAAAGGGGGCUUCGGCUCCCGCUAUCGGAUGAGCCUAUGUCGGAUUAGCUAGUUGGUGAGGUAACGGCUCACCAAGGCCACGAUCCGUAGCUGGUCUGAGAGGAUGAUCAGCCACAUCGGGACUGAGACACGGCCCGAACUCCUACGGGAGGCAGCAGUGGGGAAUAUUGGACAAUGGGGGGAACCCUGAUCCAGCCAUGCCGCGUGUGUGAAGAAGGCCCUCGGGUUGUAAAGCACUUUCAGCGAGGAAGAACGCCUAGCGGUUAAUACCCGCUAGGAAAGACAUCACUCGCAGAAGAAGCACCGGCUAACUCCGUGCCAGCAGCCGCGGUAAUACGGAGGGUGCAAGCGUUAAUCGGAAUUACUGGGCGUAAAGCGCGCGUAGGUGGCUUGAUAAGCCGGUUGUGAAAGCCCCGGGCUCAACCUGGGAACGGCAUCCGGAACUGUCAAGCUAGAGUGCAGGAGAGGAAGGUAGAAUUCCCGGUGUAGCGGUGAAAUGCGUAGAGAUCGGGAGGAAUACCAGUGGCGAAGGCGGCCUUCUGGACUGACACUGACACUGAGGUGCGAAAGCGUGGGUAGCAAACAGGAUUAGUCCU